AACGAACGCUGGCGGCAUGCCUAACACAUGCAAGUCGAACGAGAUCUUCGGGUCUAGUGGCGCACGGGUGCGUAACGCGUGGGAAUCUGCCCUUUGGUUCGGAAUAACAGUUGGAAACGACUGCUAAUACCGGAUGAUGACGAAAGUCCAAAGAUUUAUCGCCAGAGGAUGAGCCCGCGUAGGAUUAGCUAGUUGGUGUGGUAAAGGCGCACCAAGGCGACGAUCCUUAGCUGGUCUGAGAGGAUGAUCAGCCACACUGGGACUGAGACACGGCCCAGACUCCUACGGGAGGCAGCAGUGGGGAAUAUUGGACAGUGGGCGAGAGCCUGAUCCAGCAAUGCCGCGUGAGUGAUGAAGGCCUUAGGGUUGUAAAGCUCUUUUACCCGGGAUGAUAAUGACAGUACCGGGAGAAUAAGCUCCGGCUAACUCCGUGCCAGCCGCCGCAGUAA
rnacentral:rRNA from 1 species